ACGUACACUCCUACGGGAGGCAGCAGUGGGGAAUUUUGGACAAUGGGCGAAAGCCUGAUCCAGCCAUGCCGCGUGCAGGAUGAAGGCCUUCGGGUUGUAAACUGCUUUUGUACGGAACGAAACGGCCUUUUCUAAUAAAGAGGGCUAAUGACGGUACCGUAAGAAUAAGCACCGGCUAACUACGUGCCAGCAGCCGCGGUAAUACGUAGGGUGCAAGCGUUAAUCGGAAUUACUGGGCGUAAAGCGUGCGCAGGCGGUUAUGUAAGACAGUUGUGAAAUCCCCGGGCUCAACCUGGGAACUGCAUCUGUGACUGCAUAGCUAGAGUACGGUAGAGGGGGAUGGAAUUCCGCGUGUAGCAGUGAAAUGCGUAGAUAUGCGGAGGAACACCGAUGGCGAAGGCAAUCCCCUGGACCUGUACUGACGCUCAUGCACGAAAGCGUGGGGAGCAAACAGGAUUAGAAACCCUAGUAGUCCCAUG
rnacentral:rRNA from 1 species